AGACAGAAGACGCGGGGAAGCCCCGCCAUGAUGGGGACGGAGGGGACUGACACCGCUGCCAGCCAGCAACGCCGAGGCACCCGGGAGCCCCAGCAGCUGAAAGGGGCUGACGCCUCGCUGCCUCCAGGACUGUCGUUGCUCGUCACCCGGUGUGAGCCACCCCGGGAAGCAAAGACGGAGGCAUGGACUGAAGUGCUUUGCCGUGACAUGUGUAACAAAGCAGACUCUGCCCAGGAGCAGAUGUGUUUGUGGCCACUUGCCGUGUCCUUGCAGGGAAUGCCAAAGACUGUACUGUUGUCACCACAGCAUCCAAAGGACACGGAUUACAAAGCAGUACCUAAGAUGACUUAUAAGCCACUUUGGGAGCUGCCAUGCUCUGGCGCGGACCCCACGGGUGGGUGCUGCUGUCACGCUCCCCACAGUGCCCUGACCCACGUGUGCCUGCCCGAGUCACAUCGAGCAGUGGCCUGCAGCUGAGGGUCCGGCUGAGCGGAGGUGGCGCUGGAUGCGCCGUGUCCGUGUCCCGUCCCGGGAGUUCACAGUUUGCCUUGGGAGGUGAUCCGACUGGCCACAGUCUGGAGGCCUGGAGGGGCCGCGGCCAGGAGCAGCAUGAAGAGUCCGGGGAGCCAGGCCGCACCCAGUGGACAGGGCUCAGCUUGGGGACUGGAGGGCAGCUGCGACCUGGGCACUCUGGGUAGAGGGAGGGGCUCACUCCGAAACUGAGGCACUGUGGCCGGAACCCAGCCGGAACGCAGCCUAAACCCAGACUGGGACUCGAACCCACGGUUUUAAAUGAGAAUCCCUCACCCUGUGUCUGGACUCCCUGAGGUUCGGGUUCUUCAUGUCUCUGCGCAGAAGGAAUUCAGUGAGAGACAAAGUGAUGGGCACGAGGCAGAUUUAUUAGGAUAGGACGCUUGUGAGAGGCGCCAGCGGGCAGGCGAGGAGGCUCUGCCCCGGAGGGUCCGGUGGGCCGCAGUUUUAUCCUCCAGGGGAGUGGGGGUCGGAAAGGGCCGCCUCUUCCUUUCUGGGAGUCGCAGCGCCUCCUUAGCAUCGGGUCAGGUGUGUAUUCAGGUCCGCUGAGGGGCGGUCCUCAGGCUCCUGCCCUGGGUCUGAAUCUGAAUGCAGCCCUCCUCCCAGCCCCCACCCAGUGACCCGAGGCAGUUCUCCUACCUCCACCUGCGAAGCAAGCCUGCCUUGUGCUGAUGGCUUUCCUGAACCACCAGUGGGCUCCUGGCAGGUUUCCCUCGGUAUCUGUGACCCCCCUUUGAGGCAGCUACAACCACCUGUGCCUGCUCCAUCCCUAUCAACCCUGCCUUCUCUCCCCUCCGUCCCCUGGACCGGGUGCAGCUGGAGGGGGGGCGUGCUGUGACCCCUGGGGGUGAGCCACCCUCCCCAGAAGGUCUCAGGGAGCACAGCCCAGCUGCUGCCGCGUGCCCGGCAAGGUAUGUAGGGAGCAGGGGUCCCGUCUUGCCCUCACCGGUGCCUAGCGGUGGCGGUGGCAGAGGCCCCGGUGCUCAAACCAAAGGGGAGGCCUGCCUCAGAGAUGAGCGAGGGUCACAGCCUGGGGACAGCCACUCUGUCAGUGCCUCCCUCGUCACUUGCCCUGUGGCUCUUGGCAAAAAAUAUCUUUAAAACCAAAAAAGAUGUUCGCUGUGCGUCCCUGAUCAAGAUUCACAAGAAAGAGGAAAAGUGGAAAAAAAGUGACAUCCUGUUUUUCAGCCAGGUUUGGGGGGAGCUUGGGGGGGGGGCGUCUGAGACAGGGCCCCAAGGGAUAAAGUGGGUGACAGUGGCAGCACAGAGAAGACAGAGGCUGCCUGGGUAUGAGUCUGGUCCAGCUGCCUCAUAGGGAAGGGGUCUGGAAUUCCCGGGGAGGCAGAAGGAAGCCGUGAGGGUCUCAGCGGGUAUUGGGGGGGGGGGGCACUGCCAUCCAGCUCAGGAGCACGGGUCCUGGAGGUGGAGGAGGUCGGGCUGCGGGAUGGGGAGAGGGCAGGAGGGACGACGGAGGGGGUUUCUCUUCGGCGCGAACAUCUGCCAGGCUAAGGGGGGAAGGUGGCUGGCCACGUAGGGACCUGGACCAGGUUUUAGCAGCAGCGUGGCUAAACGCUGGACGACGCCACAAAGAUGCACAGACGGCCAGAAGCCUGUGAAAUACGCUCACCAUCGCCAGCCGUGAGCACUUCACUGGAAUCGAGAAUUUAAUAAAGAACUUGAGGAUGUUUGAAGGAGGACAUGCCCUGAUGAGUCGCCGUAAAGUUGUCACGUGUGUGGAUAAUUACGUAACUCAUGGUCACGUAAGGAAGUAAGACAUAAAAGGAACAUAAAAAUCAUCUAUAAUCCCCCCACCCAGGGCCAGUCAUGGAUUGCAUUUCAGGACCUGCACAACCAGAUGCUUUCAUGUGUGUAACUCAGGCGAGUCAGUUUACAGCCAAGAUUUUACUCCUUGGACUCAAUUAUACUUGAAAUCCUGUUCUUGGUUCUCAGCUUACUCCCUCCUCCCAACAAUCCCGGGUAAAUGUCAUUCAGGAUAAGAAACAUACGUUUUCAACCAUGUCCCGGGCAAAGGUGUGUGUGCGUGUGUUUCUCAGCCUGUCUCAUCAUGGGACGUUUAUAGACGGCCUCCGGUUUUUCAGUAUCAGAAACAAAGCUUCAACAAAUAUCUUCGCCGCUCAAGACAGUUACACUUUAUUAUUAUACCUUUCUUCUUUUUCCUUAGGAUAAGUUCCAGCACUUUCUGAUAAAGUAAUUCAAUUGUACAGGCGCAUGUGUGCGGCUCUUGAUCACGAGUUACCAGUCGCUCUGAUUUCUGCCUGUGGAAUUAAUCGUCCUUAGCGGCUCCUAUCGCUGGUGCCUGGCGGCCCGGCUCCCUCAGAUGUGAGCAACCUAAUCGGUGACCUCGCCAGCCCUCCGCCUCUCCCGUCACUCAUUCUGGGACAAACGGCUCUUGUUCUGCUUUUCAUUUGCAAAGACUUCCUAUUCCUCUGGUUUUUUUUUGUUUUUUUUUUUAAAUCAGAGCUGAGCUUAAAUCGCUUAAACGGGGGUUUAACAAGAAACCUUGCAACGGCUUCUACUUUUAAAUACUCAGUGGCUCUUUCAAAAUAGGACGGUGUAAAUAAAGCUUAUGGCUGAGCACAGGCUAGGGACGCGUCCCUGGGGUUGCAGUUACUUUGCUUUUGCCGUGUCUUCAGUUUUGCAGACAAGCAAUUCAGUCUGCCAAUGGAACGCUUCCUUUUUGCAAUAAGGACAAUUUGGGGAAUUGUAAUUUAGCAAAUGGUAACUUCGUCAGUGUGCUUUGGUAACGAAUUUCCUUCUUGGGUACAGAGGGUGCCGUGUGACACUUCUGAACGUUAAGAACGGAGCCGCCACCUACUCAGGGUCAC
rnacentral:lncRNA from 1 species